GAUAUUGCACAGUUAUUUGAACUUCAGUAUCGUAAUACUACUCGAACAAGAUGACGGGUUUUGUGGCGUUUUUGACCUUAGUGUUUCUCGCUCACUCAUUAGGUGCUCCGGUCGAUAACUACAAAGACCAGAAGACUGGAAGUAACAUUCUAGUUGAACAUGUUGUUGAAACUUCAACUUACAAUAAUGUACCGUUUUCGGAAAACGAAUAUAUAAGACCAAUCCUAUAUCUGGACUUCCUGCAGCGUGGGAAAAAUUAUUUCGAAUAACUUUGGAUCUACUACAGCUUAUUUAAUGAAAGGUAAAAAAAAGACAGAAGAUAUGGUAUUUUUUUCGUAGGUCAA